rnacentral:rRNA from 1 species
UACGUAGGGGGCAAGCGUUGUCCGGAAUCAUUGGGCGUAAAGCGCGAUGUAGGCGGUUCGGUAAGUUCGGCUGUGAAAGUCCAGGGCUCAACCCUGGGAAUCGGCCGGUCGAUACUGCCGGACUAGAGUUCGGAAGAGGCGAGUGGAAUUCCCGGGUGUAGCGGUGAAAUGCGCAGAUAUCGGGAGGAACACCAAUGGCGAAGGCAGCUCGCUGGGACGUUACUGACGCUGAGACGCGAAAGCG